AAAGCUUUGCUAAAGUCAAGAUAUAUCACAUCCACUGCUUUCCCCAUAUCCACAGAGCCAGUUAUCUCAUCGUAGAAGGGAAUCAGGUCCUCACUGGUUCUCUAGCUCCCAGGCUAAUACAGCCUGUGCUGUCUCAUGGCACCACACAGGGCUUCCUUAAAUCCUGGCCUGGAGGAAGCAGUCAGGGAAUGAACUGCUGACUAUACUAUAGGACGCACAGGGAACUCAUUCCCUUGGACUUCCAAUAAGAGGGUCAGUUGUUGACCUAUGACAGAAAUGGUCUAUUUAAACAUUGUACUUAUCAUUCUGUGGUCAGUUGUGGAUCAGUUUGCCAGAUUUUGACACCAUACUUAAGUGGAAACCUGGAAAUUAAUAAUCAAUCCAUCUCACAUUAGAUACAAACCAAAACCAUUGGCCGAAUGCUCUGGGCUGUCUGGGUUUGCUUUGUGUCAUUCAAUCACAAAACAUCAGUGGGACUUCGGGAUCAUUCAUUCAACCCGUGUCCUCUCGCCUUUCUUUUAAAACAGUUUAUUUGUGCUUUGACUGGAUAUUUCCAGGUAAGAACCUGGGUAAAAAUACAUGAGAAAUACACACACAGAUAUAGAGGUUUUCAAGGUGGCACUUUCUAAAAAGAGAAAAGCAUAGGGCCACCACUACUGAGGUCAAUAUUUUCUUGGAGUUAGGUCUUUGAAGAUGUUGACCUGGAUUCUCCAUAACUACAUAGACAGCACCAUAUUGCUAUACAGCUAGGCACAUGGGUGUUUGAGGCAGACUUGCUAUAAUUGGUUAAGUCAGCAUUAUUUAUCCAGCAUCUAAAUGAGAGACUAACACAGUUUUCUAGUUACAGUGGGAUGUCGUUUUAGCUUGAGGUUGCUGUUUAUCUUUGUUUCUUACAUAUUUUAAAGAGAUAAUUAAUUGUAGUUCAUGGCUAGCGUUCCUCAAACUCCAUCUUGGGACUGUCCGGUCCAAGCUGUGAGCUGUUCCAUGUCUCCUACUCCUUGUAGUGACAGCUUUGUCUCUUGGGAAGCACAGAGUGGUGAGAUAUUCCCAUGCUGCUAUUGCUUAGAUUCUGAAUAAACAUCUUCCUUUGCUAUUUCAUGCAUGUUUCCAAGUAUGUGAUGCGUUGGGUUUUUUUUUACUGGAUUGUGGGUCAACAUCUUAUUGUAUGUGUGACCAAAAUUAUUGUAUGUAUGGGCAGUCCAAGAAAAUGUGUGUGUGGAGAUGUAUUGGCACAGUCUCCCCAACAGAAGUUGGAAAGUUUCAGAGUUUGGGUGCCUAGAAGUCAUGGGUACAGUAUAAAUGCCUAGAUCAUAGAAAUCAGGACUGGAAGGUACCUCCAGAGGUCAUCUUGUCCAUCCCCCUGCACUGAGGUAGGACCACGUAAACCAAGACCAUCCUGACAGGUGUUUGUCCAACCUGUUCUUAAAAACCUCCAAUGACGGGGAUUCCACAACCUCUGUAGAGCUUAAUUAUCUUUAUAGUUAAUAAGAUUUCUUAAUAUUUAACAAAUUUCCCUUGCUGAAACCUAAGCUGAUUUCUUCUUGUCCUAUGCUUGGUGGACCUGGAGAACAAUUGAUCACCAUCCUCUUUAUUGCAGCCUUUAAGAGACAAAGAGAUCACUUUCUUGAGGAUUCUGGUAUAUAGAAGAUGCAGUGGUUACUGUCCAGUGGAAUUCUCUGUGGGAUGGGGAGGAGUUAGCGGAUGUGUGUUUUGGAGGACAUCUGCCUACAAAUCGUCUUCUAUGGCCCCUCAGACUCUGCUUCCCACUUUUACUUUCUUGGUUCUGCCUUGUCUAUCUCAGCACUGUUCAAUGCCGCAGAGAGAAGGGCAAGUUUGUCCUACUGAGCUGCCUGAUUUCUGGAGUCUUUCCAAGCUGGGAUGUGGGUCGCUGUAUGCCUGGCCUGGGCAGGUGGUAAUGUUGAAGUUGGAGAUAUUUAUAAAAGUCUGAUCUUUGAAGAUCAGAGCAUCAGGGCAUUUUUGGGCGAGUUGUUCGAAUGCUUUCAAGUGUGAACCUUGGCAGAGCUGGUGCAGGUGGGUCAGACUGUCCCACUCCCAUCUUGAGCCUCAGUGGCAAUGGACAGUAGAGGUUGUGGAACAAACCUUCUGCUGGCCUGUGCACCUCCCCUGAAACUGUCUGGGUUGUUAAGCCAAGGCAGACGUUAGCCCCAUGAUAAGCCAGUGAUUGGGCAGUGGGUACCCCAUGCUGGUCUGAGUAUGAGCCAUUCAUUUUAAACCAUUCUACUAUGUCCAUAUCUCACCAGCAUCUUUUUUGGGGCGUGUGUGUGUUGAGGAAACCAGAAGAACUAGCCAGGCUGCUCUAGGGGAUUUACUCUGAAAACUUCUGUAUGUUGCUGGAGAUAAGAGCUCUAGGCUCUGGUUCAGGCUCUGACUUUACAAACUCAUAGACAUUAGUGAAGGAAAAUACCUGCAUUAGAUGCAUAUCCACUUAGUGAUUUGUUUAGCCCUGCGAUACAUGCCUAGCUCCACCCUUUUCUCAUAAACCCCUUAACCACCCUGUUGCAUCCCUCUAACUUCCCUGCACUUUGUUGAUCUGUUUCUGGUGUCACGGUGCCCAGAGUCCUGCAGCUGUUGAGGUGGGGUCUCCCCAGAGUUCUGCCCUCUCAGCUCUGGGGCACGGUGCUGGUGUGUACAGAUAGCCCAAAUAUACAGUCAUUUCUUUUGCUGCUGUGUCAUGUCACAGGCUCAUUUACAGUAACCCCUCUAGUCUCUUUCAGUAUCACUCUUUUCAGCUUCUCAACCCUGGAAAUGGCCAUUGUGCUGCUGUUUUAUCCUACUAAUGAAUAACCCUCCAACUUCAACUGCCUCUAGUCUUAUCAGAGUGAAUAAGAAUAGAUAUUUCUAUAGCAUCUUUCAUCCACAAGGACUCUGAAACGUUUUACAGGCUGUAGACGUAGGGAUAACUCUCCUGCCACAGCAAUGCAGACACCUUUGGGGUUGGGUGCAGCAGCAACACUACGCAACAGUUUUUAACAGGGAAUGAGCAAUAGCUUCUCCAGGUGAAAGUAAAGGGGGAAUAUAGGGGAGCUGGUGUGCUAAGUGUAAUUGGGGAUUUGGCCAGGAUGCCAGAGGGAUCUCUCCUGCUGUGGGAUCAGAGACUGGUUUUCCGGCUUGUCCAUAGUAGCACAGUGCCCCCUAACACCUCUCAGAGCUCUGCCAUCCAAGCACAGCCAGGCCCUGGCUUAGUUUGAGAUCUGACCAGACUCCAGCCUGCCUGUCGCCUGAAUAUGGAGCAAUCUAGUCUGGAACCCUGGAGCCCCAGCCGGAUGCUGCUUCUCCCGGCUCUGCGAGUUCUGCUGCAGCGGACACGUCAGUAAGAGAGGAGAAGCCUCUGGGAACCGGUGUCUGUCCCUCUUAUAGGUUCUGUUGCUUCCCAGACCGAGGAACCCCUGGCUCAUGCUUUCUUGGGAUUAUGGGGCACAUAAGCCGGCUCCGCGGUGGCCCGACUGAUCCUCACCUGUGAUGAUGCUGUGGCCGGGGUGUGUGUUGCUCUCUGGGGGCAGGUGAUGGAACUGCUUUGGGGUGAGGAGACAAGGAGCAUACAAGAGACCUCCCCUCUCCACUCCCUUCCUCUGCACAGCCUGCUUCUCUCUGGGUCCUGCACAGAGGCCCAGGGCUGCAAAGCCCUGCUGAGCCAUCAGGGCUAGAAGAAAGGGGUGGGGCAGCUGUCCUUCAGUGCAGUGGGGGGUGGGGCAAGGGAGGUGCUUUCUCCUCUCCCAGGCUUAUUGUAUGGGAGAAGGGGGUUUCUUUGACCCCUGGGCUCUGUCCCAGGACCCUUAAGGAUCUCUGGGGCCUGGUAUCCAUCAGCCAUGGAGUGCUUCCCCAGCCUGUGCGGUGCCUUCCCUAUAGCAUCCCCAAGGGCAUCCCCUAUACCUCCCCUAUACCAUCCCCAAAGGGGUGGAGGAAUGGGCAGGAGGGGGAGCCGUGUAGCAGGCAGAGAGGGAACAAUACCCUGGCUGGAUCCCCGUGGUCUACUACGAGCACGGCGUGAAGUCGGAUCAUGCAGCUGCUGCAGGCUCUGCUCCUGGAAGGGGCAGGGCCUUUAAGCGACCCUACAGAGUCCCCUGCAGCUCUUUUGUGGCAGAGCUAGCAUACAUCCUGGGCUUGACUGGUGCCAGCUUUGUCUUUUCCGUACCUAAGGGACCAGCUCUGCUCCGGCAGGGACCAGGCCUCCAUGAUCCAAUUGGGCCUUUUGAUCUCUGAUGGCUCUGAUUCUCCUUGACCCCCCUGUAAUGGGGUCACCCCCAUGUCAGGGUCCUGCACUCCCCAACCUCCUUCCGUUCCCCUUUCCCACUACAAACAGCAAUGCACUCAUCAUCUCAGAAACCCUCCUGCUAAACCCCAGGUCUGGCUGCCCCUGCACCCUUGGCAGGCCAUGUUCCACCUCCACCCCAGCUCUCUCUGCAGCUCCUCAUCGGCAGCACCUCCUGACCGGUUGGCAACAAUUGCAAAAUGAAAAUGUCUCCUGCAGCGUUUUUCAGUUUUGCCACAAAAACAUUACAGAGCCAAGAGCCAGAAGCUUCUCCUGCAGCCCGGUCUGUGCUCGGUGACCUGGAUGGGACCUAGGCAUGGCCCUGUUUAGCAGUGCUGGGAGCGAUGGUAUCUCUCAUACAUGGCGUGAUUCCUGCCUUUCUCUGUCCCCGGUGUUCUGGAGGGGAAAGGUAGCCUGGUGGAUCUACAGCUGACCUCAGAGAUCCCAGAUCCGUAUGCUGUAUAAUUAGUCAGGAGGCUACAUAUGGGACGUGCCAGAGCAGACGAGGGAUGAAGGUGAGCGAGGAAGAGGAUGAACUCUCCACAGAACUAAAGAAGAUCCAAAGGCAGUGGACAAGGGUCAGGGAGAAAAUAGGCCUGAAACAUUGUUGUUCAGAGGCUGUCAAUCACCUGUUAGAUUGACGGGGAAAGGAAUGCGGGAUCAUUUCCAGAUGGAUGGGGUUGGAUUUUUUUCUCCUUGUGCUAUAUUGUUGUAUUGCCUUUGUUAUCCAUUUUGAUCCUUCUCUUCUGAAAAUGUUCACCCCGCUCUGUACUGUAUACAACGGCUGCAUGUGCUUCCAGCAUCCCAAAAUCUCCAGUGCAUUCUGUGCGGAUAAAGUUGGUAAAAUAAAAGCCAUCCGCUCCUCUGAAGUUGUUUGCUUUGCCAGUGUUUUCUUUGGCUGAUGUGUUUGAGGCAUGUCCUCGUGUAUGCAUGAGUGUAUGUGUUGGAGUUAAUGGACAAGGACGAGGGAUAAUUUGCAGGUAGCUGGAUGGAUAAAAAAUGCAUCGUGCAAUGCUGCUGGAAGCCUAAGUGCUUGUCUGUGGGUCUCUUUUCAAAGAUCCUCCUGAGAUAAUGGCUGUAAUCUUUCCAGGACUGGAGUGAUGCACAAGCAGAGGCAGCAGAUUGGGUCUCUUUGCCCUCUCCCCAUGUGUGGUCACGAUUCAACAGGAUACACAACACACUUAGCAAGCUGCACCCAGACCUGAUUCCUCUCUCUGUCCCACGUGGCACUUUAUAAAAGCCUACAGGGCAAAGCGGGCGUGGAGUGGGAGGUGCCCAGUUGAUUGAACUAUACAUGCAGAAAGGACAGCACAGGAUGUGGAUGGAGCCUGCUGCACGUGAUGCGGAAUGACAGCAAGACUGGUGGCUAGCUCCAACAAGUCAUGUUUCACUGGGACCUGAGGGGUCAUGAAGAGG